UAGUUCACUGUUGGUAAAUUUUUUUGGAUGCUGUUUAUGUUUGAACUUUUCUCUGUUUUCCUGUAGAAACUUCCGUACCCUCUUCCUGUGUCCCUACAAAAGGCCUGGACAAUGCAGUCCCAGCACCGCUGUAGGACAUGGGCAGGGCCCCACCUUCCUCCUUCCUGCAGGGAUAUCCUUUCCUAUAGAAGAGGUAAGAAUGUAAGGAAGUUGUCUGCAAUCCAGGAAGAGAAUCCUCACUGGCACCUUGAUCUUGGACUUACCAACCUCCAGAACUAUCCAGGACCACUGUUUUUCUGCAGUAACUUGAGAACCAGGAGAUUGGAAGUAGAGGUGUGUUUUCACCCAGGCGAGCGGCACAGGCUGGGCACACAGUGUGUCUGCACAGCACUGUAUGAUAGUUUACCCAGAAAACCCUCAAGCUGCACCUUUCAUGAUUCAGAAGAGAUCAUAACUCUGGCCAGCCAGUGAUCAUGGGUGCAAGCUGCCAGUCAGCAGGCUGAUGGUUCACCUGCCUAGAAUAGAGAAUUCAGUUGGCCAAACUAGGACCACAUGCCCACCCUAAAGGCCAUGAUGUUGGAGUUCUGGGAUUGUCUGCAGAGCAGAGCCUCACAUGGAAGACAGAAGAGCAGAUCCUGAAAGAAAUGGUUACCAGGCAGACAUCCAUUGCAUUAGACCACAGUGAUCCUUUUUCUUAGAGACCUGUCAGUUGACAUGGCAAUUCUGCUCCCUAAAGAUACCUCCAUAACAGCUUAUCUGCCAAGUGAUAACUUUCCUUGUCUCCAUGGGCUCCACUUAGGUAGGUCUUACCUACUCAAAAGACUCAUGUGCCCAGAGGAGACAGACACACUCACUCUGUUAAAGUGAUCUAGGUACUCUCUGCGUAGCAUGUCCCAGAACAUCUUUUUGUACAUUUGUUUCUUAUUGUUUAGUUCAUGAAUAAAACAUGCAUCUAGUUUACAUUUAAAAAUGUAUGCUUUCACUUAACCCAAAGUCCUUGUUUUAUGUAAACCCACAUUUGGAUUACUUUGUUGUGGCUAAUACUGUUGGUUGUCUACCCAACAGCCACUUAGGGCUGCAAUUCACCCAGUCCUGGGGAUGAAUCAUGAUGGAAGCCCCCUACGUCUUUGCCCAUAAUUGGACACGUAAACCUAAAUCUGGGCCGUAAGAAAUAAUGCAAAUUCUACGGAGGACUUCUGGAAAGAUAUUCCUCCCUGAGAGGGUCACAUGGAGAAAAAGCGUUUCUUGUAACUUAUAGCUUUUCCUCAUUCUUCCUUCUUCAUUUUUUUUUUCUUAAAUAACAAACACUUUCUUCUUGAUGAGGAUGCUUUUAGGUAGAGAUAUGAAAUUUGGAGCUGUGGCAGCCAUCUUGCAAAUAUGAAGUGAUGAAUGUAAGAACAACAUACGGAAAAUGGUUCAGUAGAAGAAAGGAAAGGCCCGAGUCCUUGAUUUCAUUGUUGAAGCAUUGAAA